rnacentral:lncRNA from 1 species
UAAUAUAUUCACAUAAACUGGAACGGAGGGAGUAUUAUUUUUAAAAAUUACUCCAUUGGCCGCUGGUAUAGUUUAUCCUAAAAAAGAACUUAGAAACGUCGAAACAAUAUAAAUACUAAAUAGCUCAUUUUGUUGCAACCAACUCCAACACUCACAAUUAUGUCAUUUCCAGAAAAUCUGGAAUCUAUUAUAAGCAAAUCAAAUUUGACCAAAUUAGCAAAGCAGCAACAUAUAUAAUCACAGAUUAUGCAGAGUAAAAUAGCUUGCCAUUUACAAAGCAUAUUCAAUCCCUAUAUAAAUAUUUCCUUUACUUUUAGCCCUCUCAUUUCCUAUCAGUUAAAUCUUAAGUUUUCUAAACAUACUUCCAUCCAUUGCCUGUCCCUGUAUUCUGGAAACUAUACACAAUUUUUUCAGAGGUUAAAACAACCAGAAAAAUUCAGAUAACACAGAAGAAAAUCAAUACACAACUCGGAUCAGUUUAUGGUUAAUCGUACAAACCCUCGUGCUCCCAAAUAUCAGCAAGAAAGUCGACCAUGUCCUAUAAAGAACAACCAUUUGGAAAAAGUUAAUCCGAGCCUUCCCUUGAAAUAGAAGAGAAAAGAUAUCAACAAAUAUUUCAAUAGGUGACACUCACCGAGAGAGGAAUUGGUUGAGGAAAUCGCUUGUUAGUCCCAAAUAAGCUUUCAUAAGAUACAUUCCAACUACAGUGACACAGAACAAGCAAAAUUAGCCGAUAAAAGUAGACAAACUUAAUAUAAUGUGAGAGAAACAGAAAUCUGGAGUUAUAAAAAUUAUAGCGUCUAUUGGAAAAGUCUAGCAGCGCAGUCAAUCAUGUCUAAUCGUGAAGUUAAUUAUCUCCGAUAAUCUUCUAGUGACAUUAUACCACUUUAAGAAAAGUCCUAAAUUUUGAUUCCCUGAGAAACAUGAAGAUGAGCAAAGGUUCUCACUUUAACAUGGGUUCUUCAACUCUUCGGUUCUCGGGCUUUUUACUUGCUAGCCACUGAAGUCUGGACUGGUUCCAAAGAAGAUAGCCUGCAAUCAGCAGACUGUCAACAUAGCAAACACAACUUUAAAAGUCCCUAUUCAUGCAAGUUGGAAACAAACUCGAACGUAGAUGAAAAUGGCUACUGAUUUUUUUUUUUAACCGUGGCAUUAGGGCCAGCUUGCCCUCACCUCGACUAAUUCCACGGGAUACCUGCUACCAGCAAUUGGUACAAGGUAACUUUGAAAAUGGCUAGUUUUCUUNNNNNNNNNNNNNNNNNNNNNNNNNCGCGGGGGUUGGGGGGGUUGGGGGGGGGGGGGGUUACUCGAAGGAUGUCUUGCUACAGCAGUUUGAAGAGAUGAAAUGUCUGUCUGAUUUAAAUUCAAAUUAGUUACGGGUCAAGUGAAAGGGCAUAUGGCGAAUUUUCUCACAGUAGGAUAUUUGUCCUUUCUUUAUUGGAGUAGGGUGGGAAAGGUGCAAAAUAAGCAUUAGUAGACUCUGUUUUAUUAGAAGAAAAACUUGCUUCAAAAUUCCAGUGCUCUAGAGCACUCAACGAUGAAUUAAAGGGAAAGAAUGGGAAGAGGGGAAAUCUCCACACUGUAUGUUCUCAAAGCUGUUCACUGGUAGCUCCAUAUUAACAACAAUCGACAUCCAAAUUGUGAAGAAAAAAAAUCUAAGCAUCCGACUCAUUAUCUAAACACUAUAAAUGGAUGCUGGAGUAGCUCAUAACCUAGGAAAACCUUUUUGAAACCCUUAUACAACCGAUAUGGGACAUGCUCUCUAAAACUCUCCCGUGCAUAACCUGUAGAUAUUUUCUUUUCACUUUUUUCUCUCUUCCACUUUUGCUUCUUCUUUCCUUUUCCUUUUUUCUUUAUUUGGAGAAGACUGAAGUGGCUUAAGUCAGCAUGGAGUAGAGAGAAGGCUCAAUAGGCUAGGAGUGUGCCUGCAAAUGGCUCGAUGGACUGAAUAUGUAGAGGCACAGAUCCAUAGAAUAGGCAAAGAGAAGACUAGUGAAAACUAGCCUACCAAAGUUCACUUCUGAAACCAUUGAAGAGGAUUUGAGCAUAAAAAAAAGUUAGAACUAUGGGUGCAAUAGCCCAUAUAGACUAUAUUUUGAAAUCCUUAGACAACCGAUAUGGGACAAGUUAACACUAAUGAUCAAUGAAGUUUUCGCUCAUUGUGAGUUCAGCCUUGUUAAGAAAAAUAACUCAUAGAAAUAAAAUUUCACUGGUAAUAACAAGAAUAAAAUGGACCACCAAGAUACGGUAAUCAACGAGAAUAGAAAGAGUAAUACACCGGGAUUUUAAAGUGGAAAACCCUCCUCAAUAAGGAAAAAACUUACGGCCCAAGCUCAGGAGCAAAUCUAGAAUACAAUUCACGGGUUUGGCAGAACCCAAUAGUUUUAGCACAGGCUGUGUUUGUGUUAAGAAAUUCACUUAAGUGAUCUUGUCCUAGAAUCCAUAACUCAUAAGCUUAAAAUCCUGGAUCUGCUUCUGCCUAAGGGGUGCAAAAUAAUAUCGAUAUAGUACGAUAAUCUACACUUGAUAGUCUCGAGUAAAAUACUCGAAAGACCACUACACACUCUAAUGAAACAACUUUAUUUUGUACACCUAAAAAUGAUACCACUCACUCUCUAUUUUAUUAUAUGCGAAUUGCUAUCUUCUCUUGUUUUUGUAUUCUAUUCUGUGUGUUGAAGUGAGAGAAAUGCCUUUAUUUAUAACAAUAGGAGCUAUGAGCUCCAAGAACAAAAAUAGAAAAAGAAAGGAGAAAUUACCAAAAAUUUCUCUUCCACACACUUCAUAUUGUUUUGGCACAUGGCGAUUUAACAAGUAGGGAUGGAUCCCACAAAUCUCUUCUUCCAGACUUAUUCACCUAAAGGAGGUAAUACCGGACUUAUAAUUUGAGCGCAUGCCGACAAGGUUUUUGCACAACUCAAACUUGUCUCUUGGUACCAUCUUGGUCAACGUACUUGAAGGAUUCUCACAUGUGGAGAUCUUCAAGAAAUGCAAGGAUUUGCCCCCUGCCUUUUGUCGAAUCCAAUGAAAUCUUGAGUAAUGUGUUUAGUCCUUGCAUAGUACAUGGAGUUCUUGCUCAAGUCUAUUACACUUUGAGCGUCACUCCUUCUAAUGCAAGUCAAUUUCUUGAAGAACCAUUUGAGCCAUAUCAUUUGAGUGAGCGGCACUUAUGCAAAUUCAACUGCCAUGAUAUAGCUCCUCCUAAGAGAGUAAACAAAUAUCCAUUAGUGGAUUUUCCAUUAUCAAAAUCACCUAUCAUAUCAGUAUUUGUAUAGCCCUUCUAAAUUGGAUCAGAUCUUAAAAAACACAAGUAGUUCUGAGGUACCUCUCAAAUGUUGAGUAUCCACUUGACUAUUUCCUAGUGUACUUUUUCGGGAUUUUAAAGAAAGUUGAUGAUCAGCGAUUGCAUGUGCAAUGUAACAUCUAGUGCUUACUAUUUCAUAUAUCAAACUCCUAACGAUAGAGAAUAAGGAACUUUGGCGUUGCUGUCUUUCUCUUUUGUCGUGAGACAUAUCUUCUUGCUCAACUUCAUGUAACCAAUAAAAGUUGUGUUGACUGGCUUAGCACUCUUCAUGUUGAAGCAUUUUAAUACACACUCAAUAUACUUGUCCCGGGACAACCAGAACUUUCUACUCGUUCUGUACUUCUAUCUCGACUAAUCUGCAUUCCUAGAAUUUAUUAUGUUGUACUCAAGUCUUUCAUGUUCAAUGACUUGGACAAGUCUCCCUUCAACUUGGCUAUUAGAUUUUUAUCAUGUCUUACAAUCAACUUAUUAUCCACAUAUAACAAGAUAAUAUUGUUAUCAAAAUAUCUUUUGAAGUAUAUAUAUUUGACUUUCAUGAAUGAGUCAAAUUUCGUGUACCACUGUCUUGGUGCAUGUUUCAACCCAUAGACUCUUCUUCAAUUUGCACAUCAUGUGUUCCACCAUUUUGCUUUAAAUUCUUCCGACUGCUCUAUAUAAAGGGUGUUUGGGUGAAAUCAGCUUUUAAUUUCUUUUUAACUUUUUGCGGUUUUUGGCAAAGUCAAAAAGUACUUAAAAUAAGUUUAAAACUGCUUAAAAUAAGCCAAAAACAAUAAUUACUUUUUUGCUUAAAAGCUAUUUCUACUGAAAAACCACUUUUUUUAAGCCAAUCCAAAGUCCAAACGGGCUCAUAGAUUUAUUCCUCUUUAUCUCCAUUAAGGAAUCCAUUUUUCACAUCCAAUAACUCUACCUCAAGAUUUUGACUAGAUGCUAAGCUCAAAAUAGUUCGAAUAGACAGCUUGCUACUUCUUUCUAAACAAAUCGCUAUUUUGAUCUUUCAUGAGUUUCAAGACUACUUUGCAUUUGACUAGACUUUUUUCCUUUGGAAGUUCAGCCAACUCGUGCAAUUUCUAUAGAGAUUCCAUAAUCUUCUUGCAUAACUUUCAUCCACUAAUGAGAGAGCAUCUCCUCAAGAAUUUCUAGUUCCACAUCAUCACUAACGAGGACACAAUUUAAGAAAGAAUACAUCGACGAUUCUACUAUUUGCCUUUCUGAUCACUUCAAUGGUCGUUGUAUUUCACAAGUAGGGUGAGAUCUUCCUGGAGGGGCAGAUUUAUGAAAUCCAUCUCCAACUUAUUGAAAAGCCAUAUGUCAAAAAACACUUUUGAAAUUCAUCCUUGGAGGCCAAGAAUGAAAUGUGUGGAGAAUUUUGGCAACUUCUCCCAUGGUUGGAGCCCACAACUCCUAUUGUUAUAAAUAGAGAUAUUUCCCUAAUUUCAACACACACAAAUAGAAUACGGAAGCAAAAGCUGAGAACAAUUCACAUUCACAAACAGUAACAAAAAGUAAUUUGUGAGAAAAAAAUAUAGAGUGUAAGCGAUAUCAUCGCGAGGUGUGUAGAUCAAAAGAAAGUUGUUUCUUUUGAGUAUAGUAGUCUGUUGAGUAUUUUGCCCGAUACUACCAAGUGUAAAUUUCUUUAUUAUACUGAUACGAUUUUGCUCCUCUCAGGAUGUGAGUUUUUACAUUAUUUGGAAGUGUUCUCCACGAUAAAACCACAGUGUCUUUGUUACUCUCUUUUUUCUUGUCGAUUACUGUGUCUUGGUGCUCUUACUUUUGCUCAUGUUAUUCACCGUAUAUAUUUUUUAUAGGUUAUUUUUCACAACAAGGUUGAUGUUACAAUGAGCAUAAACUUCAUUGGUCAUUAGUGUAAGAGAACUUGUCCCAUGUUGGCAUAUUUGGGUCAAUUAAAAAUGACUUUAAAUUUGCAAUUCUAUGGAGCAAUCGAUGAUGGAUUUAUAACUUCACAAAAUGAUAGUACAUGAUACAAGUAUGUUCUUCCACCAACUUUGUUACAGGUCCUAAAUACAACUUAUCGGCUCCUUUCUAAAACCCAAUGACAGAGCUAGAAAUGGGAAGAGGGGAAUCACCAGAUCAUAUGUUCUCUAAUUUGUCCAUAGGUAGCUCCACAUUUACAAGAAUCGACAUUCUAGUUGUGAAAGAACCCAAGUAUCCAAUCCAAAAUCUAUACAAGUGGAGUAGCCAAGGACCUUAUACACCCGAAACCUUAUACAACUGAUGUGGGACAGAUCCACUAUACCCUCUUGUACGUGUAACCAGUUCUUGGGUUUACACGGGGACUUAAGACCUUUUUUACUCCUUUUUUUGUAUUUUUGUCUUUCUUUUCUUGUUUCUUUUCUUUUUAUUUUAUUUUUAUGACUAGACGAAAGUGGAUUAAGUCAAAGUAGAGAGAAAUGGCUCAAUAGACAAAGAAGUGUACCUAUUAAUAGCUCGAUGGACUGAAUUAAGAGAUGUCGAAUCAGAAGAAUAGGUAAAGAAAAGACAAUAGUUUAAACGAGCUUAGCAAAGUUUGAUUUUGAUACUAUUUGAAUGAAUCUGAGCAUCCAAACCAACACCUUACAACUAUGAGUGGAGUAGUCCAAAACCUUAUAAGUUUCUUUACAAACCCUUAGGCAACUGAUAGGGGACAAGUUCUCUCACGCUAAUGAUCAACGAAGCCUGCUCAUUAUGGCAUCAGUCUAAGGCUCCACUGUUAUGACUUUCUAUGCUCCCUUUAUCACCUAUUAUAUGACUCCGUUCAAUUAUCACAUAGGAAAGGACAACCAGGAACGAUCUUUAACACAAUUUAGCUAAAACAUUUUUUCAGAAUAGAGUUUAAAUGUGCAAAACAAGACAAACGUAAUAUAAGAUAGUAAUGUAUUACUAUAUAAGUUUAGAUACUUGGUGAUUCUUUUUCCUUUAUUAAAAUAGAUUGGGAUGCACUAAAAACAAGUUGGUAAGAUAAUUGGGGAUGAAGAGUGAGCACUCCCCUUAUAGCAGCCAUUCAAAAUCAUGUUACAAACAUCCACCAUCGAUGACAAAAUCUUCAAGAUAAAGUAUGUCGCAAGAAUACUGCAGUUGUCAGAUUUAAUUUCAGCAGUAUUCAUAAGCUACUCCUAAGUCCUUGAAAACUCUCCCCUUUCCGCACCUAUCUCCUCCCCAUCCCCCUCCCAAAUCACAUACGAAAGGCUCUCUUUAACUUUGGAGGCUCAUGCAUCAGCCUCAUCACAUACAAAAGUAACAAGCACUAAGAGUCUAAGACAGUGACUGGUAGGAGGUGAAUUAAAGGAGGAACGAGGAAGGGCUAUUUCCUUUGUUUGCUUAGUAGUACGAGGAAUGUGAGAUUACUGAAACAGUAUGCUUCCCUUCAACAUAAGUUUUUCUGAUCCCUCCAGAAUUAGAAGGAAAGAAGAAAAUAAAUCUUGUACUUUCUUUUUUAGAAGUACCAAACAACCAGAGGAAAAGGCUAAAUACUCCUGAAGUGCAAGUAAAUUGGAAGGUUCACCUCCACCCUCCUUCUUUCCCUUUGUCCCCCUUACAGGAAGAAAACAAAAGGUAAAUACUAACAAAAUAUACACUCAAUCACUUUCUAAUCCAACAUAACCCCUUCAAAACCAGCUCCAAGAAUGCUAGUAAAAAUACGCUCGAUCACUUUCUCGUCCAACAUAACCCCUUCCAAACUAGCUCUAAGCAUUAGUUCCCAAGGAACUUAUACUUAUUUAAAGCAAUAGGAGAACAGAAGCAAGUUCCAAACAGAACAUAUGAAAAGAUAGUCAUCAUCCCAUGUCAAAAACGAUAUCUACUUUGGUAAUUUUAUAUGCCAAGAUUGAUUGCUCACAUGCUCAUUUUUACAUUUUUCAACCUCACAACUAAGAUGAGGUACAUAAAGAAGCGCCUAUGAGAUCGUUCCAACUAUUGAUUGUAUAAAGACACUGAAAUUACAAUAUCCUCCCCAAACUUUGUCAAAGAUUUUUCGAAUUUAUUUUCCGAGCUAUGUUGCGCGGACUCUCCGGGUGCGUGUCGGAUGCUCAAGAAGUAGUGUAUUUUUGGAGGAUCCAACACGGGUGCGGCAGCACUUUGGAAGGUCCGUGCAACAUAGUAUCCAAGUUUCCUGCAAUUCGGACUUUGUGGAGAAGCUCAAUUUCAUAGUAGUUAAGACUUGAAUGUUUUCAUAAAACAAAGAUAGGAUUAGCCUUUUAGUAGAUGGACUUUACUUUAACGACAACUCUUUAGCCAACAAUUUGGAAGAUCAAACACCACACUUUACAAAGGAAUAAAGAGAAACUUAUGUUUCUUAUUCAGUUUCCUCCAUCUAAAGAGAGAAAAGUUCUAAACCUUCUCAUUCUUCCUCUUGCAUAAGCAAAACCCCUUCUCCAAUUCUUUUUUUUUCCUUUUUCUUUUAUGGGUAUCCUAUUGAGUGGCUAAAAUAUAGAAACAGCCAUUAAAUGAUUCCAAAUAGGUAAAGGAAUCACAAUUUUCAGAAAAAGUCAAUGGUAGCAAAUAAUGUGUUCACAAACAACACACAAUCACUUAACAGCCUGAAUUCACCAAAUUUUGAAGACAAAACAGAAACAGAAACAGAAACUAAACUACACUAAGAAUAAACAAGAAACAAAAAUUGAUCAUUAAGAAUCUGAAUACAUACCCCAUGCAAGCCAGAAAGUGACUGAUCCAAGCACUGAAAGAAGUGUAAAUCAUCAUAUAUCUAAACAUACAAGAAUAUCCAAUUGUUCUUUAAGGCUCCAAAUGAACCAGAUCACUAAAACCCAAGCAUAAAAAUCCAAUCUUUUUCUGCACCCAAAAAAAAAACCUUUUUCAGUUUCAAGAAUCAGAUUAAUACAGAAAAAAAAAACUUUUUUUUCCUUACCUUAGAGCAACCAUAAUAUACAUAUGGAUAAUAAAUACAAUACAUCAAUUUAUUAUUAAAGAUAUAAAUGGUAAUGAAACUGAAUUCCAAAAGGGUGUUUCUAUACCUGGGGCGCCCCUCUCUCUCCCUCACACACACACACAAACACACACAGAGACACAAUGUUUCUCUCUCUGCUUUAUCUGUGGGUUUGAUAUUUUAAUAGUGGACUAGGAAGUGAGGUGGCCUAGGUGGUGAAUAGUUAGGUGUCUCAUGUCUCUGAGGUUAAAUUAUUUUAUCUUUAUAAUACUGAAUGUUGUAAUCCAGUGAUUAGUAAGAUAAAGUGGUGAAUUAUGAGAUUUUAAGUUUAAUUAGUGGAUAUAAAAAUAUUAAAUUAUUUUUUUAUUUGCUUUAAAUAUUGAGUUGUUC